rnacentral:rRNA from 1 species
GAUGAACGCUGGCGGCGUGCCUAAUACAUGCAAGUCGAGCGAAUGGAUUAAGAGCUUGCUCUUAUGAAGUUAGCGGCGGACGGGUGAGUAACACGUGGGUAACCUGCCCAUAAGACUGGGAUAACUCCGGGGAACCGGGGCUAAUACCGGAUAACAUUUUGAACCGCAUGGUUCGAAAUUGAAAGGCGGCUUCGGCUGUCACUUAUGGAUGGACCCGCGUCGCAUUAGCUAGUUGGUGAGGUAACGGCUCACCAAGGCAACGAUGCGUAGCCGACCUGAGAGGGUGAUCGGCCACACUGGGACUGAGACACGGCCCAGACUCCUACGGGAGGCAGUAGUAGGGAAUCUUCCGCAAUGGACGAAAGUCUGACGGAGCAACGCCGCGUGAGUGAUGAAGGCUUUCGGGUCGUAAAACUCUGUUGUUAGGGAAGAACAAGUGCUAGUUGAAUAAGCUGGCACCUUGACGGUACCUAACCAGAAAGCCACGGCUAACUACGUGCCAGCCGCCGCUGUAA